rnacentral:rRNA from 1 species
UACGGAGGGUGCAAGCGUUGUCCGGAAUCACUGGGCGUAAAGGGCGCGUAGGCGGCCUGGUAAGUAGGGGGUGAAAUCCUGCGGCUUAACCGCAGGGCUGCCUUCUAAACUGUCAGGCUUGAGCACGGUAGAGGCAGAUGGAAUUCCCGGUGUAGCGGUGGAAUGCGUAGAGAUCGGGAAGAACAUCAGUGGCGAAGGCGGUCUGCUGGGCCGUUGCUG